ensembl:lncRNA
UAACCUAAUCGAAAAUGGCAAAGGAUUUGAAUAGAGAUUUCUCCAAAGACUUACAAAUGUUCUAUAAUGCAUGAACAGGUGUUCAACACAUUAGCCUUUAGGCAAAUCAAAUCCACAAUGCGAUAUGAUUUUACAUCCAAUACAACAGCUAAAAAAAAAAAAAAAGUUAAAAAGCAAUAACAAAGGUGCUGAGAAAUUGGAACUCUCAUACGUUGCUAGCAGAAAUGUAAAAUGGUGCAGCUGCUUUAGAAAAUAGUCUAGGAGUUCCUGUCGUGGCGCAGUGGUUAACGAAUCCGACUAGGAACCAUGAGGUUGCGGGGUCGGUCCCUGCCUUUGCUCAAUGGGUUAAGGAUCUGGCAUUGCUGUGAGCGGUGGUGUAGGUUGCAGACGCGGCUCGGAUCCUGCGUUGCUGUGGCUCUGGCGUAGGCCAGUGGCUACAGCUCCGAUUCGACCCCUAGCCUGGGAACCUCCAUAUGCCGCGGGAGUGGCCCAAAGAAAUAGCAAAAAAAAAAAAAAAAAGAAAAUAGUCUAAUGCUUUCUCAAAGGUUAAAUGGAGUCAAUAUAUGACAGCAUUUUCACUAUUAGUUAUAUACCCACAAUAAAAGAAAACAUGUUCACACAAAAUCUUGUACACAAAUGUUCAUAGAAGCAUUAUUCAAAAUAGCCAUUUGCCAAAUUCAUUCAGUAGAUGAAUGAAUAAAUGUAGUUUAUCCACACAAUGGAAUAUUAUUUUCCAAUAAAAAAUAUUGAAAUUGCAACAUGGAUGAACCUUGAAAACACUACACUCAGUGAAAGAAGCUAGUAGCGAAAGACCAUAUACUGUAUGACUCCACUUAUACGAAAUAUCCAAAACUGGCAAAUCUGUAGAAACAGAAAAAUGUUAGUGGUUGCCUAAGGCUGGUAGAAAUGGAAGGAGGCGGAAUUGGGAGAUUAAUUGCUAACAGUACAGGGUUUUAGGGUGGGGAGUGAUGAUGUGUUCUGAAAUUGUGAUGAUGGUUGUGAUGAGAUUGCACAACUCUCUGAAUAUAUUGAAAACCCUUGAUUAUAUAUGUUAAGUUGUUGAAUUGUGUGCUGUGUGAAUUAUAUCUGAAUAAAGCUAUUUAAAAAUCCUUAGGAAAGGUAGCUGCUAAAAAAUUUAUAUUUUUAAUAAUCACAUGACUUUUUUCUGUUAGUCUAUAUUGAAAGAAUUUUUUCAUCUCAUGAUGGAUUUACUGUAACAGAGCAGAAAUGAGAAAAAACAAGGAUCAAAAUAACCACAUUCAUGCGUCUCAGCUCGUGGUUUACAUGACGAAUUAUGAAAUACUGAAGACUUUUUUCUCUUGAAGCUUAUUCAGACAUGAUGGAAUGCUUCAGAUUCAGAGGAUCUCCCCCCCCCCACCUUUAAAAAAAUAGACAUAGAAAGUACUAGGCUUUAAGAGAUAAAGUGACUUGCCCAAAGCCCUGAGCCCCGAGGCCCUGGAGCAGAGCCUCAACUAUAACUCAAGUCUUUUACUUUCUAGGCUAGGAUUUAGAUCAGAUUAUCAUUGUGGUUGUGAUACAUGACAUUAAACUCCUCCUUAAGUUUUCUUUGAUUCAUCAGAAAUCAAAAUACCUAUGUCUGAGAGGUUUAGCUUCACAUUCUAACAAUAAAUCCUAUUGUUCUUCACUCCUUUAUUUCCUGAUGUGAGUUUUCCAAUUUGUCAAUGAAACUAUAGUAUGCAUUCAUGAAGUCCCUCAUUUUAUUAAAACAGCAUUAUUGAACCUAUACUAUCUAUCAGUUUUCGGGCUCUGCAUUGCUGAUAUCUAUAUGGAACCACAAGUAUGCAUAGGACAGACACUCUACACCCCAGAAUACUAAGGUAGAAAAAAAUUUACACAAAAAUACGACAAUAAAAACAGAUUACUGAAAGAAAAGGGAAGUGAUAAGGGAAUAUAGAAUAGGGAAUAACUGACAUCGUUUAAAGGUAAGACUGUUUCUAAUAGAGCUACCAGGGGAAGAAGGCAGGAAAGAUGUUCUAAGAAGAGGGAAAGGCACCUGCUAAAAGACAGAGUUGUGUUAGACAAGUACAGUGAGGAAGUACCAGGAAGACAUACUAUGAGUUUUGUGUCAUUAAAAUAGAGCAUACAAGAGGAAAGGGCACAAAUAGAAAGGUAGCCCCUGAUGAAUUUUCAUAAAGAACAGGCCUAUGGAGCCAACACACACAAGAAACGGAAUGUAAUCAACAACCCAGACAUCCUCCUCUGCCCUUCCAGACACUAUCUCCCUACAACAUAAUCACAGUCCCAUUAAAAAGCUUAAAAAGAGAAUGAGGCCAUCGGCCUAGAGGAUCAACCCAGAUAGAAAGGGAUUCAUGGAGAAGGGCAAACAAAUUUAGCAAACCUUUAGAACAGUCAAGGCAGGAGAGAGGAAUCGCAAGAAAAGAAUUCUAAUAGGGAUGGAGAGAACACAAGAAAUCAGAACUUUGAGGGCAGUGUUUCUCAAACCAAUCUGUGCAUUAAAAUUAUCUGAGAACAUUACGCAGAAUAUAGGUCCAGUACCCACUGAAUCUCCAAGUUUGAAUACCAGGAAUAAAUAUUUUAAAAGCUUUCCUGAUAUGUUUUUUCAUGUGCAAAUUUAGGAACCACCGACUUCAGACACAGAACUCACCAGACAUGGAGACUAAAUUAACUACAGGACGGAAAGACAAGGGACAAGUCGAUGAAAACCAUGACAUGUCUGUCUUGGGCAGCUGAGAGAAAUAAAAACAAAAUAUUUGUUGAGUUUGAAAGGAUUUUGGAGCACCAGAGGUAAAGAGAGGAUAAGCUACGGAUAUUGUUAGUCUUGAACUAAGAAUAGACUGCUAAAAAUUUGAUAAAAUAGGUAACUAACAAGGACGGACUGGAUAGCACCAGGAAAUCUACUCAAUGUUCUAUAAUAGCCUAUAUGGGAGAAAAGAAUGUAUGUAUGUAUAUGUAUAACUGAUUUACUUUGUUGUACAUAUGAAACUAAUACAGCAUUUUAAGUCAGAUAUACUCCAAUAAAAAAUUUUUAAAAA